rnacentral:tRNA from 1 species
GCCGAGGUGGCGGAAUCGGCAGACGCGAGGGACUUAAAAUCCCUUGGACCUCGGGUCCGUGCGGGUUCGACCCCCGCCCUCGGCA